UGUCCAGACUCCUACGGGAGGCAGCAGUGGGGAAUAUUGCACAAUGGGGGAAACCCUGAUGCAGCGACGCCGCGUGAGCGGUGAAGUAUUUCGGUAUGUAAAGCUCUAUCAGUAGGGAAGAAAAUGACGGUACCUGACUAAGAAGCCCCGGCUAACUACGUGCCAGCAGCCGCGGUAAUACGUAGGGGGCAAGCGUUAUCCGGAUUUACUGGGUGUAAAGGGAGCGUAGACGGCGGUGCAAGCCAGAUGUGAAAGCCCGGGGCUCAACCCCGGGACUGCAUUUGGAACUGUGCUGCUAGAGUGUCGGAGAGGCAGGCGGAAUUCCUAGUGUAGCGGUGAAAUGCGUAGAUAUUAGGAGGAACACCAGUGGCGAAGGCGGCCUGCUGGACGAUGACUGACGUUGAGGCUCGAAAGCGUGGGGAGCAAACAGGAUUAGAUACCCCAGUAGC
rnacentral:rRNA from 1 species